ACAACAACAAAAUCCCCUCAACAACACGAAGAACUCACACAAGAGUUCAUAACAUCACGCAUACUCUCAACCAACAAUAGAAAAUCGACAAGAUCCAAGAUGAGAGAGCUAAAGUACAGAGAGAAUUUUUAACUCAAAGGAAAGCUGCGUAAAAUGAGAGCCUCCGAACCCUAGGCAUUUUAGUUUCUUUUAUAUGAAAGGAACAAAUCAU
rnacentral:lncRNA from 1 species